rnacentral:rRNA from 1 species
GAGGGGCAGCGGGGCCUCCGAGCAAUCGGAGGCCGCCGGCGACCGGCGCACGGGUGAGUAACGCGUAUGCAACCUGCCCGGUUCAGCGGGAUAACCCGGAGAAAUCCGGACUAAUACCGCACGCGACCGGAGGGAGGCAUCUCCCUCCGGUCAAAGGAGGCAACUCCGGAGCCGGAUGGGCAUGCGUGGCAUUAGCUAGUUGGCGGGGUAACGGCCCACCAAGGCGACGAUGCCUAGGGGUUCUGAGAGGAAGGUCCCCCACACUGGUACUGAGACACGGACCAGACUCCUACGGGAGGCAGCAGUGAGGAAUAUUGGUCAAUGGGCGGGAGCCUGAACCAGCCAAGUCGCGUGAGGGACGACGGCCCUACGGGUUGUAAACCUCUUUUGCCGGGGAGCAAUCACCGCCACGUGUGGCGGGGGCGAGAGUACCCGGAGAAAAAGCAUCGGCUAACUCCGUGCCAGCAGCCGCGGUAAU